AAGCUCCAUUAGCCCCUUGAUAAAGCGAGGCAGCGGCUUGUUUACGUGCCACACUUCGCUCCGCUCCGCUCCCGACCUAGCCAGGCCCGACGAUGCAGCGGUGGCUCCCGGCGAUCCUCCGCCGCGCGUCCCCCGGCGGCGGCGCGGCGCGGCUUUUCUCCUCGUCCUCCCUCCUCUUCGACGAGACGCAGGAGCAGUUCAAGGAGAGCGUGCACAAGUUCGCGCAGGAGGCCGUCGCGCCGCACGCCGCCGCGAUCGACGCCUCCAACCGUUUCCCCACGGGCGUUGACCUGUGGAGGCUCAUGGGGGACUUCAGCCUCCACGGCCUCACCGCGCCGGAGGAGUACGGCGGGAUGGGGCUCGGCUACAUGUACCACUGCAUCGCCAUGGAGGAGAUCAGCAGGGCCUCCGGGUCCGUCGGCCUCUCCUACGGCGCGCACUCCAACCUCUGCAUCAACCAGCUGGUCCGUCAUGGCAACCCGGAGCAGAAGCAGAAGUAUCUACCCAAGCUGAUCAGUGGUGAGCAUAUCGGGGCGUUAGCAAUGAGCGAACCCAACUCUGGUUCUGAUGUGGUCAGUAUGAAAUGCAAAGCUGAGAAAGUGGACGGUGGCUAUGUCAUCAAUGGGAAUAAGAUGUGGUGCACGAAUGGGCCUUCUGCUCAGACACUGGUUAUUUAUGCAAAAACGGAUUUAGCUGCAGGGUCAAAAGGAAUAACUGCAUUCAUAAUCGAGAAAGGGAUGCCUGGGUUCAGUACUGCUCAAAAGUUGGACAAACUUGGCAUGCGAGGAAGCGACACGUGUGAGCUUGUUUUUGAGAAUUGCUUUGUGCCACACGAAAAUGUUCUUGGUGAAGAGGGCAAAGGUGUUUAUGUCAUGAUGUCAGGGCUUGAUCUGGAAAGACUUGUAUUAGCUGCAGGUCCCAUUGGUCUUAUGCAGGCAUGCCUUGAUGCCGUACUUCCAUAUGUUCGCCAGAGGGAGCAGUUUGGCCGUCCAAUUGGUGAAUUUCAGUUCAUACAGGGUAAAAUGGCUGACAUGUACACCUCGCUGCAGUCAUCAAGAUCAUUCGUAUACUCAGUUGCUAGGGACUGUGAUAAUGGCAAAGUUGACCGCAAGGAUUGUGCAGGAGUAAUUCUUUUUGCUGCUGAAAAGGCAACCCAAGUUGCACUUCAGGCAAUCCAGUGUCUUGGUGGCAAUGGGUACAUAAAUGAGUACCCAACUGGUCGUCUCCUCAGAGAUGCAAAGCUGUUUGAGAUUGGUGCUGGUACUAGUGAGAUAAGAAGAAUGAUAAUUGGCCGUGAGCUCUUCAAAGAGGAUUGAAAUUGUUAUUUUGCAAGCCAGAUACCAAUAGAUGUUGUUAACUGGAGGAGCUUGCCCUUGUAGACCCUGCCAAAGCCCCCUUCUCCAAGAAGGCAGUCGGAGCGGAAGUUCUUUGUGGCAGUGGCCAGCUCACGGAACGUGAAUGCUUUCGCGGUUUUGGCAACAGAGGAGCUUUCUUUAGGAGGUUCGAUACUUGAUGUUUCAGAUGAUGGCUUGUGCUUUGAAGAGACUGGUGAUGGCUUGAUGGACCCUGCAAAGUGGCAGGAGCAUCUUAUGAUUCUUACCAGAUUCUCUGGGAGUCGCUUCAUUCUCGCUCGAGGCCUUCUUCACGACCGUGACCUCCCUCGACUCCGUCCUCGUCGACGGUGUCUUCUUCUCAGGCUUGAAACAUGCAAAACAGCUCAUCGUCCCCCAACUACCUCGUUGUGUUGGGAAUGGCGGCAGGGGGUGAGAGUUUAAUGCAGCCUCCUCCCUCCUUGUGCCUAAAGAUCUCCUGUCCAGGUUAUCGAUUGCUGUUCGUGCUUUGUGCGCGGAAAAUGUGACCCCUGUGAGGAAAUGUGGUCAUAUAGGAUGAUCAUCCUCUCCAUGCCUUUGCGGCGGGGAAUGUGCUCAGCCAAGAAUAGGGUCAUGGGGGAUCCUAAACUUAGAAGCUCUGCGCGUCAUCCAAGAUCUGUGUCCCAGCUAACGCGCUGCAUGCAAAGCUGGAUCUGACGUCUUCCCUUGGAAAGUUCCAGUUCUAGAAACAGUCUCGGCUGAUUUUUUUCUGUUCCAAGGAGCACCGCAUGCCAAUAAUAUGCCAUUCCAUUGGAACAUGCUGGGUGUUUUUGUUAGAUUAAUUUGGCCCAUGGCAUAAUAAAAUCUAAUUAAUCUGUUAAAUACCAA